AUUGAACGCUGGCGGCGGGCCUAACACAUGCAAGUCGAACGAGUGGCGGACGGGUGAGUAAUGUAUCGGAACCUGCCCGAUAGAGGGGGAUAACUACUCGAAAGGAUGGCUAAUACCGCAUAUUAUUGGAGGGACCCAUGUCGGAUUAGCUGGUUGGCGGGGUAAAGGCUCACCAAGGCGACGAUCACUAGCUGGUCUGAGAGGAUGAUCAGCCACACUGGGACUGAGACACGGCCCAGACUCCUACGGGAGGCAGCAGUGGGGAAUUUUGGACAAUGGGCGCAAGCCUGAUCCAGCCAUGCCGCGUGUAUGAAGAAGGCCUUCGGGUUGUAAAGGACUUUUGGCAGGGAAGCGGUACCUGAAGAAUAAGCACCGGCUAACUACGUGCCAGCAGCCGCGGUAAUUC
rnacentral:rRNA from 1 species